CACGUAGGGUGCGAGCGUUGUCCGGAAUUAUUGGGCGUAAAGAGCUCGUAGGCGGUGUGUCGCGUCGGCCGUGAAAACCUGCAGCUUAACUGUGGGCUUGCGGUCGAUACGGGCAUCACUGGAGUUCGGCAGGGGAGACUGGAAUUCCUGGUGUAGCGGUGAAAUGCGCAGAUAUCAGGAGGAACACCGGUGGCGAAGGCGGGUCUCUGGGCAACAACUGACGCUGAGGAGCGAAAGCGUGGGGAGCGAACGGG
rnacentral:rRNA from 1 species